UUAGAUUUCACCUUGUGCUAUGUGAAAAGAUGAGGAAGAUGCAUUCUUGAGUUAUUAGUUUAUGCUCAUAAGAUGUUUGAUGAAAUGUCUCGUAAAAGUCUCUUUUUCUUAUACAUUGAGUGAGCGUUUUGUUUGGUUUUUGAGUAUUAUUUUUGUGAAUAUAGGUUGUUCGAAAGAUGCAAACUCCUAAGGAAUGUUGGUUUUAACAUAGGAAACAUAUUGUAUCAUUGUAUUAUUUAUUUCUUUUGUUAUUGAACUGAAAGGUUUUGGUUAAUAUUUAUAUUCUUCAUCUAAGAUGGAUGAGAAAAAGGAGCGGAGGAGAUUUGCUGACGGUGAAAAAGAGUCAAAGACGAUGGAGCAAGCUUGGGUGGUAGGGCAAGGAGGGACCGGAAGAGGUUUGAGGAUCGGGUGAAGGAAGAAGAUAAUGGUGGAAAUGUUGAUGAGAAGCAUGCGAAAGUUAUUGAAUACAAGUCCAAAGGAGACGUGGGGGAUGGAAAAGUUCAGUUUGGAGGCACCACCGAUGAAAAAAGGUCACUGGGGAAUAACCAACGAAUGCAAGAAUCUAUUUCAAUAUUGCACAAAAAGGAAAAGGCAUUGCAAGAGGAGAACAGGCAGCUAGCAAAUAAGGUAAAGGAAAAUGAGAAGGCUUUGGUUGAACGUGGACAGUGCGAUUUUCCAAACUUGGUUCAUAAUAAACAGCCCAUUUUUGGAAUGACACCACCAAUUCCUUCUUUAUCUUUCGGGCGAAGGUAAAGGUAGAGGAAAGCUGGCGAGCGACAGAGAAGGAUCCGUGACAUGCCAUAUGGGGACUCAGUUUUGCUUCCGCGUUUAUGUUUCAGUGUUUUAAUAUUUCGUUUUUAAUGAAAAUUUAUUCUUCCCUCGUUUCAAAAAGUGUCUCUUGUCAUUGUUCCUUUUAGUAACGACUUCAGCUUAGUAUAAAGAGUUGGGUCGUUACAACUAAGUUGGUAUGAUGAAUUGUUUCUUUUUUUAUAUACUGAUUUACUUUUAUUUAUGUAUUUUUUUUCCUUUUUUAAAAAUUGAAAAUGUUAGAAAAGAAGAUGAAUAUUUUGUGGAGGAAGAUGGGUGGACUCAGAUUUUGUCCCAACUUCAAAUUAGUUCAAAGGAACAACCCUGCUCUUCUCUUUUCUUCAUUCUCUACCACUCGGGCUUCUUACAACACUCUCGUCUCUGAGAAUGAUUGAAGUUAAGUAAUUGUGUAGAUAGCCAGACGAUCAUUGAAGGUUGAAGAUUGAAGAUUGAGAAGACGUUUAGAAUUUUUCUUAUUUACGUCUUGUAUUACGAUCUUUUUUCAUAUACUGUUGUAGAAUGUAUAUAUAAACACAAUAUUAAGUUUUCAUUUUGUGUAUACAAAUGUAAAAGAUAAAUAUUAUAGUUUCUAAAUUAAUAUUAAUUUUAUUGA